AGCGUACACGGUGGAUGCCCUGGCAGUCAGAGGCGAUGAAGGACGUGCUAAUCUGCGAUAAGCGUCGGUAAGGUGAUAUGAACCGUUAUAACCGGCGAUUUCCGAAUGGGGAAACCCAGUGUGAUUCGUCACACUAUCAUUAACUGAAUCCAUAGGUUAAUGAGGCGAACCGGGGGAACUGAAACAUCUAAGUACCCCGAGGAAAAGAAAUCAACCGAGAUUCCCCCAGUAGCGGCGAGCGAACGGGGAGGAGCCCAGAGCCUGAAUCAGUGUGUGUGUUAGUGGAAGCGUCUGGAAAGGCGCGCGAUACAGGGUGACAGCCCCGUACACAAAAAUGCACAUAUUGUGAGCUCGAUGAGUAGGGCGGGACACGUGGUAUCCUGUCUGAAUAUGGGGGGACCAUCCUCCAAGGCUAAAUACUCCUGACUGACCGAUAGUGAACCAGUACCGUGAGGGAAAGGCGAAAAGAACCCCGGCGAGGGGAGUGAAAAAGAACCUGAAACCGUGUACGUACAAGCAGUGGGAGCACGCUUAGGCGUGUGACUGCGUACCUUUUGUAUAAUGGGUCAGCGACUUAUAUUCUGUAGCAAGGUUAACCGAAUAGGGGAGCCGAAGGGAAACCGAGUCUUAACUGGGCGUUAAGUUGCAGGGUAUAGACCCGAAACCCGGUGAUCUAGCCAUGGGCAGGUUGAAGGUUGGGUAACACUAACUGGAGGACCGAACCGACUAAUGUUGAAAAAUUAGCGGAUGACUUGUGGCUGGGGGUGAAAGGCCAAUCAAACCGGGAGAUAGCUGGUUCUCCCCGAAAGCUAUUUAGGUAGCGCCUCGUGAAUUCAUCUCCGGGGGUAGAGCACUGUUUCGGCAAGGGGGUCAUCCCGACUUACCAACCCGAUGCAAACUGCGAAUACCGGAGAAUGUUAUCACGGGAGACACACGGCGGGUGCUAACGUCCGUCGUGAAGAGGGAAACAACCCAGACCGCCAGCUAAGGUCCCAAAGUCAUGGUUAAGUGGGAAACGAUGUGGGAAGGCCCAGACAGCCAGGAUGUUGGCUUAGAAGCAGCCAUCAUUUAAAGAAAGCGUAAUAGCUCACUGGUCGAGUCGGCCUGCGCGGAAGAUGUAACGGGGCUAAACCAUGCACCGAAGCUGCGGCAGCGACGCUUAUGCGUUGUUGGGUAGGGGAGCGUUCUGUAAGCCUGCGAAGGUGUGCUGUGAGGCAUGCUGGAGGUAUCAGAAGUGCGAAUGCUGACAUAAGUAACGAUAAAGCGGGUGAAAAGCCCGCUCGCCGGAAGACCAAGGGUUCCUGUCCAACGUUAAUCGGGGCAGGGUGAGUCGACCCCUAAGGCGAGGCCGAAAGGCGUAGUCGAUGGGAAACAGGUUAAUAUUCCUGUACUUGGUGUUACUGCGAAGGGGGGACGGAGAAGGCUAUGUUGGCCGGGCGACGGUUGUCCCGGUUUAAGCGUGUAGGCUGGUUUUCCAGGCAAAUCCGGAAAAUCAAGGCUGAGGCGUGAUGACGAGGCACUACGGUGCUGAAGCAACAAAUGCCCUGCUUCCAGGAAAAGCCUCUAAGCAUCAGGUAACAUCAAAUCGUACCCCAAACCGACACAGGUGGUCAGGUAGAGAAUACCAAGGCGCUUGAGAGAACUCGGGUGAAGGAACUAGGCAAAAUGGUGCCGUAACUUCGGGAGAAGGCACGCUGAUAUGUAGGUGAAGUCCCUCGCGGAUGGAGCUGAAAUCAGUCGAAGAUACCAGCUGGCUGCAACUGUUUAUUAAAAACACAGCACUGUGCAAACACGAAAGUGGACGUAUACGGUGUGACGCCUGCCCGGUGCCGGAAGGUUAAUUGAUGGGGUUAGCCGCAAGGCGAAGCUCUUGAUCGAAGCCCCGGUAAACGGCGGCCGUAACUAUAACGGUCCUAAGGUAGCGAAAUUCCUUGUCGGGUAAGUUCCGACCUGCACGAAUGGCGUAAUGAUGGCCAGGCUGUCUCCACCCGAGACUCAGUGAAAUUGAACUCGCUGUGAAGAUGCAGUGUACCCGCGGCAAGACGGAAAGACCCCGUGAACCUUUACUAUAGCUUGACACUGAACAUUGAGCCUUGAUGUGUAGGAUAGGUGGGAGGCUUAGAAGUGUGGACGCCAGUCUGCAUGGAGCCGACCUUGAAAUACCACCCUUUAAUGUUUGAUGUUCUAACGUUGACCCGUAAUCCGGGUUGCGGACAGUGUCUGGUGGGUAGUUUGACUGGGGCGGUCUCCUCCUAAAGAGUAACGGAGGAGCACGAAGGUUGGCUAAUCCUGGUCGGACAUCAGGAGGUUAGUGCAAUGGCAUAAGCCAGCUUGACUGCGAGCGUGACGGCGCGAGCAGGUGCGAAAGCAGGUCAUAGUGAUCCGGUGGUUCUGAAUGGAAGGGCCAUCGCUCAACGGAUAAAAGGUACUCCGGGGAUAACAGGCUGAUACCGCCCAAGAGUUCAUAUCGACGGCGGUGUUUGGCACCUCGAUGUCGGCUCAUCACAUCCUGGGGCUGAAGUAGGUCCCAAGGGUAUGGCUGUUCGCCAUUUAAAGUGGUACGCGAGCUGGGUUUAGAACGUCGUGAGACAGUUCGGUCCCUAUCUGCCGUGGGCGCUGGAGAACUGAGGGGGGCUGCUCCUAGUACGAGAGGACCGGAGUGGACGCAUCACUGGUGUUCGGGUUGUCAUGCCAAUGGCACUGCCCGGUAGCUAAAUGCGGAAGAGAUAAGUGCUGAAAGCAUCUAAGCACGAAACUUGCCCCGAGAUGAGUUCUCCCUGACUCCUUGA
rnacentral:rRNA from 1 species